UACGUAGGUGGCAAGCGUUGUCCGGAAUUAUUGGGCGUAAAGCGCGCGCAGGUGGUUCCAAAAGUCUGAUGUGAAAGCCCCCGGCUCAACCGGGGAGGGUCAUUGGAAACUGGGGAACUUGAGUGCAGGAGAGGAAAGUGGAAUUCCACGUGUAGCGGUGAAAUGCGUAGAUAUGUGGAGGAACACCAGUGGCGAAGGCGACUUUCUGGCCUGUAACUGACACUGAGGCGCGAAAGCGUGGGGAGCAAACAGGAUUAGAACCCUGGUAGUCC
rnacentral:rRNA from 1 species